AUGGGAUCUACGAAGUGGCCGGGGAUUCUCGUCUUGCUGAGCAUUUGCUCACAGGCUGUAACCCAGUCAGGUUUUCAGGUGUCUGUGUUCUCAGUUACAUCCAAGGCUGUGAUUCUCAGGUGGAACAGCUAUUCUGGAGCCAGCACAUACAAGAUUUCUGUCUCAACCCAAAGCUCGCCGACCGACUUCGUUGCCUUUGCACAGUAUGGUGCAGAUGUAGUGAUGGGCUCCGUCAUCUCUCUGUCCCCAAACGUUAACUAUAUUUUCACAAUUCAAGCUCUGGAUAAUUCCCAAAACACACUGAACAGUGCAACCGUACAGUCAUCCACAGGUAAGAUGCACUUGUGACUAUACCUGUACUUCCUCGACACCAAACAGGAGGCGACAGUGAUGAGAAUCAAACAGGUUUGAGGGGUAGAAACAUUAAACCUUGUUUAACCCAGGGAGACUCAUCACCUAUAAUCCUCUUUUGAACUGACAUUUUAGUUCGUCACAGCUGACUGUGUGUGUUUUAGCCCCUGACCUGAUGGAACCCAUCCAGGCAGUGCAGUCGAAGGACAGCAGAACCCUAGUGGCAGAGUUCAACCUGCAGACGGGGGCGACCAGUUACAUCAUCCGUGUCCAGGACAACAAUGGCUUCUUCAGAGAGGACACAGUGGCCUCCUCCCCUGCUGAGAUCCAGAACCUCACGCCCUACACAGACUACAGGCUGAGCAUCAUGGCCGCGAACAGCGCCGGCCGCAGCCAGCCGUCUCUGCCUGUGGCUGCAAAAACAGGUACUGCUGAACCGAGUUACGUGUUCUCACUUUCACCCAGUCGCUGAAACGAAAGCUAAAGAACUGAGUGGCGACAACAGCUGCAGGCUGCUUUACUGAGAGUCACGCAUUCACUGCAGAACAGAGAGCCUCUC
rnacentral:lncRNA from 1 species